rnacentral:rRNA from 1 species
AUGCGCCAGCCUCCGGGUUUCUCUGAUCCGGAUCGUCCUGAUCAUCUCUGUCGUCUGUCCAAGGCAAUUUAUGGUCUGAAGCAGGCUCCGCGUGCUUGGCAUGCUCGUCUUGCAAUGGCUCUUCGUGCUCAUGGUUUUGCAUCAUCAACUGCUGACUCCUCAUUGUUUCUUCUUCAAAGGCCUGAGGUUACUAUGUACUUGUUGGUCUAUGUAGAUGAUAUCAUUUUGGUCAGCUCCUCUCAGUCGGCUGCUACUGCGCUUGUUCGCUCACUUGGUGCUGAUUUUGCGGUCAAGGACCUUGGGAAGCUUCAUUACUUUCUUGGUGUGGAGGUUACUUCUCGUGCUGCUGGCCUUGUUAUGACGCAGAAGAAGUACUCUCUGGAUUUGUUGCAGCGAGCUGGGAUGCUUAAGUGCAAACCGACGACUACACCCAUGUCUACCACUGAUAAGCUCAAUGCUGUUGAUGGUAUGCUUCUUUCUUCUUCUGAUGCGACAGAGUACAGGAGUAUUGUUGGUGGGCUCCAGUACUUGACGAUCACGCGACCAGAUAUUUCCUAUGCUAUUAACCGAGUCUGCCAGUAUCUGCAGUCACCCCGUGACACUCAUUGGUCUGCUGUUAAGCGGAUUUUGCGCUAUAUUCGUUUCACGGUGGCUCAUGGUUUGCAUAUUCGGCCGUCUGACUCUGGUUGUCUUUCAGCAUAUUCUGAUGCAGACUGGGCUGGCAAUCCGGAUGACAGGCGAUCCACGGGGGGUUAUGCUGUCUUCUUUGGCUCUAACCUGAUUGCCUGGAGUGCUCGAAAACAGGCUACUGUCUCGCGUAGCAGUAUUGAGGCUGAGUAUAAGGCUGUGGCCAAUGCCACAUCAGAGAUCAUCUGGGUACAGUCCUUGCUUCAGGAGUUAAGUAUACCCCAAUCACAGCCUCCUGUUCUUUGGUGUGAUAACAUCGGUGCUACAUACCUUUCUGCAAAUCCGGUAUUCCAUGCCCGAACGAAACACAUUGAAGUUGACUAUCACUUUGUGCGUGAACGUGUCUCUCAGAAGCAACUACAGAUCAAGUUUAUUUCUUCCAAGGAUCAACUUGCUGACAUCUUCACCAAGCCAUUGCCUUUGCCACAGUUUGAGACUUGCAGGCACAAUCUUACCCUUCUAGAUUCAUUAGAAAGUGGCUAA